AUACGUAGGGUGCAAGCGUUAAUCGGAAUUACUGGGCGUAAAGCGUGCGCAGGCGGUUUUGUAAGACAGUGGUGAAAUCCCCGGGCUCAACCUGGGAACUGCCAUCGUGACUGCAGGGCUGGAGUGCGGCAGAGGGGGAUGGAAUUCCGCGUGUAGCAGUGAAAUGCGUAGAUAUGCGGAGGAACACCGAUGGCGAAGGCAAUCCCCUGGGCCUGCACUGACGGUCAUGCACGAAAGCGGGGGGAGCAAACAGGAUUAGAUACCCUGGUAGUCCACGCCCUAAACGAUGUCAACUGGUUGUUGGGUCUUCAGUGACUCAGUAACGAAGCUAACGCGUGAAGUUGACCGCCUGGGGAGUACGGCCGCAAGGUUGAAACUCAAAUGAAUUGACGGGG
rnacentral:rRNA from 1 species